UACGUAGGGGCGAGCGUUGUCCGGAAUUAUUGGGCGUAAAGGGUUCGCAGGCGGUCUGAUAAGUCAGAUGUGAAAGGCAAUGGCUCAACCAUUGUAAGCAUUUGAAACUGUCAGACUUGAGUUAAGGAGAGGAAAGUGGAAUUCCUAGUGUAGCGGUGAAAUGCGUAGAUAUUAGGAGGAAUACCAGUGGCGAAGGCGACUUUCUGGACUUAUACUGACGCUGAGGAACGGAAAGACGUGGGGAGGCAAACCAGGAUUAGAUACCCUCGGUAGGU
rnacentral:rRNA from 1 species